AGAAAAUUAUUAUCCCAAUGGCAGAAGGCGGAGAAGAGGAAAACAAUCCUUUUUCAUUUAAAAAGUUUGUGAAAUCUAAAGAUAGAAAUGUUGAAAAGGGAGAAGAAGAGAAUACAGCACCGAAUAAGGAAACUGUAGCACAAACGAAAGACAUCAGGGCUUUCACAGCAGAUAUUCAUUAAAAAAAAAUGCAUGGUCCCUCUCAAUUUGGAAAGUAAAGUUUUACUUACUGAUCCUCCAAGUAACACAAAGAAAAAGAAGAAACCCGAUGAAAAUCCUUUUUCAUUUAAAAAAUUCUUAGAAUCAUCAGGAUCUGGUUCCAAUUCUAGAGACAGAAAUAACAAAAUUCACCACUCUCAGCGUAACUCACAGAAUACUCCAGACUUUGCCACUGAUCUCCCGGAUUUUGUCCAAGAUCAUUUCCAGGAGAGUCCUGUUGAGCCGUCACUCCCAACCAGUUUAGAUCUUCCCCUCCCAGAUCUUGGAUUUCCCAAGGAAUCAAUUCCAAGAAGACAUACUAAUUCAUUCAAUGAACCGUUUUCAGCUGGUAGUAAUGAGACUAGAAAUUUUUCCACCGAUAGCCUUAGGGCUAAAGGCGUUUUCACUCCUAACAAUAGUGAAAGUGACUUAGUUUCUGGGAUAGGGGAGGUAACUCAAAAUAAGAGUGAGGAACAAGACUUUAUGCCAAAUCGCCCUCAUGUUCCUACAAGACUCCCAGAUUUUAUUACUGAUGGAAUAUUAAGAAACACGGAUAGUCUCCCUGAUAAUGAGAUUAGCUUGCCAAAGCCAGAGGGUUAUUUACCCAAUGGUCCACAGAGAACAAGGAGUAAAGAUGAGGAAAAUGAAAGACUGAAAGCAGAAAAUGAAAUUCUGAAACAACAACUUGAAGAAGCCAGAAGUAGAAAUGUGAUAGAAACAAAAAGGUGCAAUAAAUUAAAAAAAGAGAUGGAAGCUGCCCAGAAAAAGGAAGCAGAAGACACGGCUGCAAUGGAGAAAAUGCUUGGAGAAGUUGAGGCCAAUUUACUGACAACAACGAAAAGGGCGGUAGCAGCAGAGAACCAGUCAACUGUUUUACAGAAUCGAGUCACAUAUCUGGAAAAUGAAAACAGACUAUUAAAGUCUGGGGACAAGGGAUUAGCUGAUCUGAAGGAGAGGACUUCCUAUGUGUCUCAGCAGUUAUCUUCAGUCGUCUCAGCAGCGGAACAAAAUCUGAAACAAAUGUUGUCCGGAGUAGAGAACUUGAGAGUCAUGUCUCAGGUCUUGAAAUCAAUAGACAAAGUCACAGAGACUGAAGAAAACACAAACCCGAGUCAAAAGCCAGAUCCUAAGAAUAAUAACAGCUGACCUGAAGGGACAAAGGUUAAGUUCAGAUUGAAGGAGGUUGUAAAAUGAUGACACAAAGUACAUAACCAUUAUUGUGAAUGUAAAUGAACAAGUGGCAUUGAGUAUUGAGAGAUGUGCUAGAUGUUUACAACACAUUUUGUAAUUUUCUUUCUCAAAAAUGAAAUACAUGUACAUUUUUUUAAAUAUGUUGAUAUCAUUUUAUCAUGCGACAAGAUUUAAAGUGAAUUUUGAAUAUAUGUCAUCUAUAUCAGAGGAACAGCCAUGUCAUUGUCUACCAAAAUGAUCUCUUGGUUGAUUUUUCUUGUCAGUAAUAAAAGGAGAUUGUUUUUUAUGAUAUAGGUCUAGACUUUUAAGUGUCAUACAGUUCCUGUAUUGUACAUGUAAUCUUGAGUUGAUAGAAUUAUGUAAAAUCUUUUACACAGACAAUAUAUUUAUAUAAAUGAC
rnacentral:misc_RNA from 1 species